CGGCGGACGGGUGAGUAACACGUGGAUAACCUACCUAUAAGACUGGGAUAACUUCGGGAAACCGGAGCUAAUACCGGAUAAUAUAUUGAACCGCAUGGUUCAAUAGUGAAAGACGGUUUUGCUGUCACUUAUAGAUGGAUCCGCGCCGCAUUAGCUAGUUGGUAAGGUAACGGCUUACCAGGCAACGAUGCGUAGCCGACCUGAGAGGGUGAUCGGCCACACUGGAACUGAGACACGGUCCAGACUCCUACGGGAGGCAGCAGCC
rnacentral:rRNA from 1 species